UACGAAGGGGGCUAGCGUUGUUCGGAAUUACUGGGCGUAAAGCGCACGUAGGCGGAUUUGUAAGUCAGGGGUGAAAUCCCGGAGCUCAACCUCGGAACUGCCUUUGAUACUGCAAGUCUUGAGUCCGGGAGAGGUGAGUGGAAUUCCUAGUGUAGAGGUGAAAUUCGUAGAUAUUAGGAAGAACACCAGUGGCGAAGGCGGCUCACUGGCCCGGUACUGACGCUGAGGUGCGAAAGCGUGGGGAGCAAACAGG
rnacentral:rRNA from 1 species